GAACAUGCCCCUGCAGCCUCACUGCUCAAUCCUCUGCCAUUUAGGAGUUAAAUCCCUUUGUUUAUGAACCCUAGUCACACCUCCCUGCAUGCACAGCCUUCCAUAAACACUUCCUGUAAAGAGAGCCCUAUUUAGGCUUUCUUUAUUGCAAGUUCUGUUUAAUUAAGAUUUUCUUAUCCCCUGCUAUGUUAAUAGCUUGCUAGACCCUGCAAGAGCCUCCUGUAUGUGAUUAAAGUUCAAUUUAGAGAUUGAG